AUGAUUAUCCAAACUUUUUAUGCAGGACUGAAUUUUUCUUCAAGAAAUCUUUUGGAUUCAGCUGCUGGAGGAACCUUUAUGUCUCUCACCUUGGGGGCUUCCACAAAGCUUCUUGAUAAUAUGAUGACAAACUACUCUGAAUGGCACACUGAAAGGUCUCCACAAGGUAAGAAGGUAAAUUCUGUUGAAGAAACUUCCUCUUUAAAUGCAAAGAUGGAUGCCAUUAUGUCUAUGCUUGCUAGUGGUAAGACUCAUGUUGAUCCAAAUAAUAUUCCCUUAGCCUCUUUGGUGGCUCAAGAGGAGCAUGUUGAUGUGAACUUCAUUAGAAAUAACAAUUUCAACAACAAUGCUUAUAGGGAUAAUUUUGGUAACAACAAUUAUAAGCCUUAUCCUCCCAACAAUGGCAACACUUAUGGUAACUCUUAUAGUAAUUCUUAUGGUAGAACUGGGAUGCCUAGUGAGGAAAGAAUUUUAGAAGUUGAAAAAGCUACUAAAGAAUAUAUGCAACAACAAUUUGAGCAAAACAAAUUAUUCACUAAAACUAUGGAAGAACAAUCUGCUAUGUUGAAGCAAAUUAGUCAUCAACUUGAAAAUUUAAAUAGGGAGAUUCCUGGGCUUCAAACUAAAAUCUCUAAGGCUGAAAGUAGUAUUUCAUCUUUGUCCCAAGCUCAAUCUUCCUUGAUUAAUAAGAUGACUGCUAAAACUGAAACCAUUGAUAGCAAUCCCUUUGCUACUUUGAAUGCCAUCCAAGUUAGAAUUGAUGAAAAUGUUAGGAUGAUGGCUGAAUUGCAUGUUAGGUGGGAAAGAGAAGAUGAAAUUGCUAGAAACAAAGAAAUAACCAAAGUUUGUACCAUUACCACCACUAGUAGUGCCGAAACUCCAAAUAUUAGUAAGCCUCCUAUCAUUAAUAAUAAAAGAUUUAGCAAAGAAAAGGCCUCUACUCCUCCUAAAAAACUGCCUAGGACCACUGAACUUGAUAUUGAUAGUGGUGCUGAAAUUUUUGGGAAAGUAGGAGACCAUAGCCCCCUGGUCUUUGAUAAUAAUGACUUUGACAUUAACCAUUGCACUAUCUCUGAAGUCAUUAAGUACCUACAAAAACUUGCUGAAAGUCCCCACACUAGUUCCCAAAAUUUGGUUUUUACAGAACACAUAACAAAUACUCUAGUAAAAAUUAGAGAAAGAAAGUUAAAACAAGAAGCCUCUAUCCCUAGGAAGAUAGAAGAUGGUUGGGAACCCAUCAUUAAAAUGAAAGUGGAUGACUUUGAUUGCAAUGCUUUAUGUGACCUUGGUGCUAGUAUCUCUGUGAUGCCUAAGAAAGUUUAUGAUAUGCUUGAUUUACCACGUGUGAAGAAUUGUUAUUUGGAUGUUGUUCCUCCUGAUAUUUCCAAGAAGAAACCUUUGGGGGGAGUUGUUGAUGUUCUUAUUGUUGUUAAUAACAACCUUGUCCCUGUUGAUUUUGUUGUUUUGGAUAUUGAAUGCAACUCUUCUUGUCCUAUUGUUUUGGGAAGACCUUUUCUGAGAACUGUUGGUGCUACCAUUGAUAUGAGAGAAGGGACUAUUAAAUAUAGUUUCCCACUUAAGAAAGGUAUUGAGCACUUUCCUAGAAAUAAAAAUAAGGUAGCCUAUGAAUCUAUCAUUAGAGCAAAUUAUGAUGUUGAUGCUCCUUCAUUUGAAAACACUUGA
rnacentral:rRNA from 1 species